rnacentral:rRNA from 1 species
UGAAUACGAGACGCUAAGGCGUCGAAGUAGUGUAUGUCAUACUUCCAAGAAAAGCUUGCACUGUCAUAAUAAAAAAUGCCUGUACCAUAACCGACACAGGUGGGUAGGUAGAGUAUACUAAGGGGCGCGAGAUAACUCUCUCCAAGGAACUCGGCAAAAUAACUCCGUAACUUCGGGAGAAGGAGUGCCUUAUUCUUAAGGUUGCAAUAACAAGAUCCAAGCAACUGUUUAUCAAAAACACAGGUCUCCGCUAAGUCGCAAGACGAUGUAUGGGGGCUGACGCCUGCCCAGUGCCAGAAGGUUAAAGAAGUUGGUUAGCUUUUGCGAAGCUGAUAACUGAAGCCCUGGUGAACGGCGGCCGUAACUAUAACGGUCCUAAGGUAGCGAAAUUCCUUGUCGGGUAAGUUCCGACCCGCACGAAAGGCGUAAUGAUUUGGAUACUGUCUCGGAGAGGGGCUCGGUGAAAUAGACUUGUCUGUGAAGAUGCGGACUACCUGCACCAGGACAGAAAGACCCUAUGAAGCUUUACUGUAACUUGAAAUUGAAAUUGGACUUUAUUCGCGCAGUAUAGGUGGGAGGCGUUGAUUGUAAUCUUGCGGGAUUAUUGGAGCCAUCAGUGAGAUACCACUCUUGUAAUGUUAGAUUUCUAACUUUGUAUCAUUAUCUGGUCAAAGAACAGUUUCAGGCGGGCAGUUUGACUGGGGCGGUCGCCUCCUAAACGGUAACGGAGGCGUACAAAGGUUUCCUCUGAACGGUUAGAAAUCGUAUCUAGAGUGUAAAGGCAUAAGGAAGCUUGACUGUGAGACCUACAAGUCGAGCAGGGACGAAAGUUCUUAGUGAUCUGACGGUACUGAGUGGAAAGGCCGUCACUCAACGGAUAAAAGUUACUCUAAGGAUAACAGGCUGAUCUCCCCCAAGAGUUCACAUCGACGGGGAGGUUUGGCACCUCGAUGUCGGCUCAUCGCAUCCUGGGGCGGUAGUACGUCCCAAGGGUUGGGCUGUUCGCCCAUGAAGGCGGUACGCGAGCCGGGUUCAGAACGUCGUGAGACAGUUCGGUCCAUAUCCGGUGUAGGCGUUAGAAUAUUGAGAGGAGCCUUCUUUAGUACGAGAGGACCGAGAAGGACAUACCUCUGGUGUACCAGUUAUCGUGCCAACGGUAAACGCUGGGUAGCUAUGUAUGGAGUGGGUAACCGCUGAAAGCAUCUAAGUGGGAAGCCCACCUCAAGAUAAGUAUUCUC